GGAAAAGAGAGAUCAGACUGUCACUGUGUCUAUGUAGAAAGGGAAGACAUGAGACUCCGUUUUGAAAAAGACCUGUACUUUAAAUAAUUGCUUUGCUGAGAUGAUGUUAAUGUGUAGCUUUGCCCCAGCCACUUUGCCCCAACCUGGAGCUCACAAAAACAUGUGUUGUAUGAAAUCAAGGUUUAAGGGAUCUAGGGCUGUGCAGGACGUGCCUUGUUAACAAAAUGUUUACAAGCAGUAUGCUUGGUAAAAGUCAUCGCUAUUCUCUAGUCUCAAUAAACCAGAGGCACAAUGCACUGCGGAAAGCCGCAGGGACCUCUGCCCUUGAAAGCCGGGUAUUGUCCACGGUUUCUCCCCAUGUGAUAGUCUGAAAUAUGGCCUCGUGGAAUGAGAAAGACCUGACCGUCCCCCAGCCCGACACCCGUAAAGGGUCUGUGCUGACAUGGGUUAGUAAAAGACGAAAGCCUCUUGCAGUUGAGAGAGAGAAGUCCACUGUCUCCUGCUCGCCGCUGGGAACUGAAUGUCGCGGUGUAAAACCCGAUUGUACAUUUGUUCAACUCUGAGACAGGAGAAAAGCCGCCUUGUGGCGGGAGGCGAGACAUGUUUGCGGCAAUGCUGCCUUGUUAUUCUUUACUCUGCUGAGAUGUUUGGGUGGAGAGAAACAUAAAUCUGGCCUACGUGCACGUCCAGGCAUAGUACCUUCCCUUGAACUUAAUUACGACAUAGAUUCUUUUGCUCACACGUUUUUGCUGACCUCCUCCUUAUUAUCACCCUG
rnacentral:lncRNA from 10 species